CCUACGGGAGGCUGCAGUAGGGAAUUUUGCGCAAUGGGGGAAACACUGACGCAGCAACGCCGCGUGAUUGAUGAAGCCAUUCGGGGUGUAAAGAUCUGUCAGUGGGGACGCAACUUGACGGUACCCACAGAGGAAGCAUCGGCUAACUCCGUGCCAGCAGCCGCCGUAAUACGGGGCAUGCAAGCGUUGUCCGGAAUCAUUGGGCGUAAAGGGUUCGUAGGUGGCACGUUAAGGCUAGUGGUAAAGGCAGAGGCUUAACCUCUGUUCGGCACUGGAAACUGGCGGGCUUGAAUGUGGUAGAGGUAAAGGGAAUGCCUGGUGUAGCGGUGAAAUGCGUAGAUAUCAGGAAGAACAUCGGUGGCGUAAGCGCUUUACUGGGUCGUAAUUGACACUGAGGAACGAAAGCCAGGGUAGCAAAUGGGAUUAGAUACCCUAGUAGUC
rnacentral:rRNA from 1 species